UACAGAGGUCCCAAGCGUUGUUCGGAUUCACUGGGCGUAAAGGGUGCGUAGGUGGUGAGGUAAGUCGGAUGUGAAAGCUCGGAGCUCAACUCCGAAAUGGCAUUGGAAACUACCUUGCUCGAGGGUUGGAGGGGGGACUGGAAUACUUGGUGUAGCAGUGAAAUGCGUAGAUAUCAAGUGGAACACCAGUGGCGAAGGCGAGUCCCUGGACAACUCCUGACGCUGAGGCACGAAAGCCAGGGGAGCAAACGGG
rnacentral:rRNA from 1 species